AGGGUUUGAUUAUGGCUCAGGAUGAACGCUGGCGGCGUGCUUAACACAUGCAAGUCGAACGAAGAUAUUUAAAAUGAGAGCUUCGGCAGGAUUUUUAUCUAUCUUAGUGGCGGACGGGUGAGUAACGUGUGGGCAACCUGCCCUGUACUGGGGAAUAAUCAUUGGAAACGAUGACUAAUACCGCAUGUGGUCCUCGGAAGGCAUCUUCUGAGGAAGAAAGGAUUUAUUCGGUACAGGAUGGGCCCGCAUCUGAUUAGCUAGUUGGUGAGAUAACAGCCCACCAAGGCGACGAUCAGUAGCCGACCUGAGAGGGUGAUCGGCCACAUUGGGACUGAGACACGGCCCAA
rnacentral:rRNA from 1 species